rnacentral:rRNA from 1 species
UACGUAGGGUGCAAGCGUUGUCCGGAAUUAUUGGGCGUAAAGGGCUCGUAGGCGGUCCAUCACGUCGGGAGUGAAAAGCUGGGGCUUAACCCCAGUCCUGCUUCCGAUACGGGCAGACUAGAGGUAUUCAGGGGAGAACGGAAUUCCUGGUGUAGCGGUGAAAUGCGCAGAUAUCAGGAGGAACACCGGUGGCGAAGGCGGCUAUCUGGACAGAAACUGACGCUGAGGCGCGAAAGCUAGGGGAGCAAACAGG